UACAGAGGUCCCAAGCGUUGUUCGGAUUUACUGGGCGUAAAGGGUGCGUAGGCGGUCAAAUAAGUCUGAUGUGAAAUCUCGGAGCCUAACUCCGAAACUGCAUUGGAAACUGUUUGACUUGAGGAGUGGAGGGGAGACUGGAAUUCUCGGUGUAGCAGUGAAAUGCGUAGAUAUCGUGAGGAACCCCAGUGGCGAAGGCGGGUCCCUGGACAUUUCCUGACGCUGAGGCACGAAAGCCAGGGGAGCAAACGGGAUUAGAUACCCCGGUAGUCUGGGCUGUAAACGGUGCGCAUUUGGUGUGGGCGGAUUCGACCCCGCCAGUGGCGAAGCUAACGCGAUAAAUGCGCCGCCUGGGGAGUACGGUCGCAAGAUUA
rnacentral:rRNA from 1 species